CUCUUUUCUAGUUCUGAGCAGAGUGUGAAGCUCUGCAAAAACCAAACGAAAUUUUUCAAGGAGAUCGAAGAACGGAGCAAAAUCAAGGCAAUAAUGCAUUUCAAUGUUCUUCUUCUUCUUCUUCUUCCUCUGGAGAUUCCUCGCGGUGUUCUUCUCUCUGCAAUCUAGUUUCAGAAGCAGUUUCCGGUUUCCGAUAUGGUCAAGUGUGAAAGAAACAAUGUCGGAUCUGUAGUUUUUGACCGAGUUUCCACUUCCACUGCCGCUUGCGGAAAUUUUCGCCUUCGUACGUCAUUCUCCGCUGCUUCAUUCCGUAAGAAGAUUUUCGACGCUGUAAGUUGUAGCGGAAGUUUUCGCUAUUGUUAUCACCACGACGGCGAUGGUACUGUUGCCUCGGCGAUUAAACCGGCGUCCGAGAUUGUGAAUGAACGGAAGUCGGUGAGGCCGAAGCGGUCCAAUGCGAAGUCGGAGAAGCUGUUGGAUCUUCUGAGGUUGGAGUCAUUUCAGGAAUCGAAGCAGGAGAUGGAGGAGGAGGAGGAGGAGGAGGAUCUGGAGGAGUUCAUAUGCGUGGUGAAGAAACUGCAGGAUGAUGAUUUGGUGAAGAAGAGAGCUGCUGCGAGUCGAGUUAGGUUGCUUGCAAAAGAAGAUGCAGAAGCGAGAGAGACGUUCGCAAUACUCGGAGCCAUUUCACCGCUGGUUGGAAUGCUUGAUUUGGAAGACGAUGAAUCUAAGAUCGCCUCGCUUUAUGCAUUGCUCAAUCUUGGAAUUGGAAACGAUAUGAACAAGGCGGACAUUGUCAAAACAGGUACUGUUCACAAAAUGCUUAAGCUGAUCGAAUCUGAUAAUUCCAUAAAUCCAUGUGUCUCCGAAGCCAUAGUUGCAAAUUUCCUCGGCUUGAGCGCAUUAGAUACCAACAAACUGGUAAUUGGGUCAUCAGGUGCAAUUCCUUUCCUGGUGAAGAACUUAUACGACCCAGACAAAAAAGGUAGCUCACAAGUCAAACAAGAUGCUCUACGUGCGCUUUAUAACCUCUCUAUUUUCCCAUCCAACGUUCCAUUUAUCUUAGAAACCAAGUUGAUCCCAUUUCUUCUAAACUCGAUGGGAGACAUGGAAGUCAGUGAAAGAGCUCUCUCUAUUUUAAGCAAUGUGGUAUCAAUCCCAGAAGGCCGAGAAGCCAUAAGCACUUUUCCAGAUUCAUUUGCGAUAGUAAUUGAUGUAUUGAAUUGGGGUGAUUCGCCAGGGUGCCAAGAGAAGGCCUCGUAUAUUUUAAUGGCAAUGGCGCACAAAUCUUAUCGUGAUAGGCAGGCAAUGAUUGAAGCUGGGAUUUCAUCCGCUUUGUUGGAACUAACUCUUUUGGGCAGUACGUUGACUCAAAAUAGGGCCUCGAGGAUAUUGCAGAUUUUGAGGGUCGAUAAAGAAAAAGAGAUAUGUGAUUAUGGUUGGAAUUCUUCUGCUCGAAUUUGUGGUGGUUCAUCUUCUUUUACAAACCCAAUUCUUGGUUCUGCAGAAGUGGAAGGAUUGGAUGAUUUGGUGAGUGAAGAGAAGAAUGCUGUGAAGCAAUUGGUGCUGCAGAGCUUGCAAAACAACAUGAGGAGAAUCGUUAGGAGAGCGAACUUACCUCAAGAUCUUGUGCCUUCUGAUCAUUUCAAGUCCCUCACAUCAAGCUCCACUUCAAGAAGCUUGCCGUUUUGAGUGCCUAACUGCUCGAUAAUUCUGAAGUUAGUCGUCUCUCUUCAUAAAUCCAUUUAUCUUGUGCAGUUUGUUUUUUUUCUUUUUCUUUUUCUUGUGGGUGUUAUUUAACUAGCCUUAUUGUUCAUCAUAAAGUUAAUUCGACUCAUUGUUUAUUAUAAAUUUAAUAUCACAAAUGUAUUUAGGAUUUGUUUAAUAAUUUAGGUUAAAUAUAUGCUCUAGUUAUCAUUGUUAUGAUGUUUUUGCAAUUUAGUUUCGAUGGUCUAAAAAGUUUUAAUUUGGUCCUAUUGGCCAAUGGUAUGAGCUUACAUCAUAUGCUAUUUAAUUUCUAACACCAUUUUAGAGGAAGAUCUGAAACAUUUCAUCUGUUUUGUAGCUUUGUUCUCUUCUAAAUUUGCAUGACAAUGGGAAAUACGUCUUUAUUACAAGUUAUCUUGUUCUCCCAAUAAGUUUAGGUUCAUAAAAUCAGAACCAUACCAAAUGGGGAAUAGAAUUUAGUGAUAGAACAUAGUCGAGGACUCUUGGAGAUCCCAAUUAUUCUUUCUUGUUCCUCAUAUACAUCACUGGCCCCGUAGAAUUUAAUAUUAGCAACACUGGUACACAUAUUUCUCUUACAAACAUUAUUUUUCCUCCUACAAAGUAGAAACCUGAAAAUGCUAUUUAUUUAUUUUCCUUGAACUUGGAAGGUGUAGCUGAAACAGGUACUGUUCACUGCCCCUUCUUGUCUCCUUCCAACAUCUUUGCCUCUUUCUCUCCAAUAUUUUACUCUCUAUCUCAGGAUCUUCUAUAACAUUUCUUAAGAACUUUAUAAACAUGAUAGGAUUUGAAUUAUACUAACAAAGCUACAUUAUAUUUCUUCUUCAGGAAUGAUGCAGUUUUCCUUGUAAACGAUGAUGCGAGCUGUAGAGGUCUUAUCUCGAACAAUGAAGAUGGAAUGAAAAUCCUCCUGAAUAUCAAGUGGGUGGCACUUUGAGUCUUAGAAACCAUAUAGUUACCUGGACAUUGAUUUUUAUUUAAUUUUGAUGUUCAUCAUCUUCAGCUGCUGCUGCAUUUGGAACUUUAAAGCUCCGGGUGCUUAUUUGCUUAUACUUAAUAAAUGGUGUCUAGUAGAUUUGUGUUUGUGUUGCGUUGUCCGACAGCGAUUGUGUGGGGCAUUACAAUUUGUGAAAUCUUAAGGAUGUUUCUUUGGA